GAUGAACGCUGGCGGCGUGCCUAAUACAUGCAAGUCGAGCGAACGGACGAGAAGCUUGCUUCUCUGAUGUUAGCGGCGGACGGGUGAGUAACACGUGGAUAACCUACCUAUAAGACUGGGAUAACUUCGGGAAACCGGAGCUAAUACCGGAUGAUAUUUUGAACCGCAUGGUUCAAAAGUGAAAGACGGUCUUGCUGUCACUUAUAGAUGGAUCCGCGCUGCAUUAGCUAGUUGGUAAGGUAACGGCUUACCAAGGCAACGAUGCAUAGCCGACCUGAGAGGGUGAUCGGCCACACUGGAACUGAGACACGGUCCAGACUCAUACGGGAGGCAGCAGUAGGGAAUCUUCCGCAAUGGGCGAAAGCCGGACGGAGCAACGCCGCGUGAGUGAUGAAGGUCUUCGGAUCGUAAAACUCUGUUAUUAGGGAAGAACAUAUGUGUAAGUAACAGUGCACAUCUGGACGGUACCUAAUCAGAAAGCCACGGCUAACUACGU
rnacentral:rRNA from 1 species